GUUUGGGUGAUGACUUCAAGCAUUUGUCGGAUACCCCUUCACUCGUCUUAUGAGUGAGAAUUGCAGUCUGACAAAC
rnacentral:snoRNA from 1 species